UACGGAGGGUGCAAGCGUUGCUCGGAAUUAUUGGGCGUAAAGGGUGGGUAGGUGGUCUCGUUUGUCUGAGGUGAAAGCCCAGGGCUUAACCCUGGAAGUGCCUCAGAAACGGUGAGACUGGAGUACUGGAGAGGGUCGUGGAAUUCCCGGUGUAGCGGUGAAAUGCGUAGAGAUCGGGAGGAACACCAGAGGCGAAGGCGGCGACCUGGACAGUGACUGACACUCAACUACGAAAGCGUGGGGAGCAAACAGG
rnacentral:rRNA from 1 species